rnacentral:pre_miRNA from 1 species
AUCAGGAAGAGGAUGAAAUGAGCAUCUAAGAGCAUUAGGCAUGGGGGCAUGGGGGAGGGCAUAUAAACUAGUGUUUCCCCCUAAAUCUAGGGUUCAACAUUUUUUUGGAACAUUCCCGAUGCCUCCCAUGCAUAUUGUUUUUAUGCACUCCUUCUGCGUCCUUUGCAUU